CGGUACGUACUGGCAUCGUCGGUUUCUCCCUUCUGACGAACCAUGAUGUCAUUUAUUUGGUGUUGUGGGGAAUCAGGACUGUUACUUUGAAAAAAUUAGAGUCGUUUAAAGCAGGCUCACGCUUGAAUACAUUAGCAUGGAAUAAUGAAAUAGGGCGUUUUGAUUCUAUUUUGUUGGUUUCUAGGAUCGACGUAAUGAUUAAUAGGGAUAGUUGGGGGCAUUAGUAUUCAAUUGUCAGAGGUGAAAUUCUUGGAUUUAUUGAAGACUAACUACUGCGAAAGCAUUUGCCAAGGAUGUUUUCAUUAAUCAAGAACGAAAGUUAGGGGAUCGAAGACGAUCAGAUACCGUCGUAGUCUUAACCAUAAACUAUGCCGACUAGGGAUCGGAUGAUGUUAAUUUUUUAAUGACUC
rnacentral:rRNA from 1 species